GACGAACGCUGGCGGCGUGCCUAAUACAUGCAAGUAGAACGCAGUUGCGAACGGGUGAGUAACGCGUAGGUAACUGCCUCAUAGCGGGGGAUAACUAUUGGAAACGAUAGCUAAUACCUCCUACUGUGAGAUGGACCUGCGUUGUAUUAGCUAGUUGGUGAGGUAAAGGCUCACCACGGCGACGAUACAUAGCCGACCUGAGAGGGGGAGAGGACACACUGGGACGUAGGAACGGCCCAGACGCCGACGGGAGGCAGAAGGAGGGAAUCGUCGGGAAGGGACGGAAGGCUGACCGAGAAACGCGGCGGGAGUGAAGAAGGGGUUCGGGUCGGAAAGCUCUGUUGGUAGAGAAGCGGUAACUAACGAGAAAGGGACGGCUAACUACGUGCCAGCAGCCGCGGUAAGAC
rnacentral:rRNA from 1 species